ensembl:lncRNA
GUGUGCCAAGGUUCCAGCAUGCAAAGCCCAGGUCUCUGCAAGAGAAAUUCCGUAACAGCUGGGACUCCGGGCCCUAAGCAGCAGAUGGAUCUUUGUCAGUCUCUGGACACACUCUGGAAAUUACUCUUGACAACCUUGGACUUCCUCAUUGCUGCCGACGUGUCAAAUGAUCUGCCUGACCCUGUUUGCUGUCACUGGACCUGCUCUGCUCGCCUUGCUCAGGUACUGAAAAUACAGUGCACAGAGGAGACGGAGCAUUUCAGCAGUGUGUGUUGCUGCAGUAAGAGAUGGACUACGUUCUGAACAGGAUAACCCUACCCCAGGAAGUAUGCAACUUGCUUUAUCUGGGUUAAUGGGUUUUUGGAGAAGGAGACAAACAACAGCAACACGUGCUCCCAGCUGACUGAUUCCUUCCUCAUGGCUGCGUAGAUGGAAGCGUUGGCCGAGGACUAAAACAUGAGGAAACUCCAAGCAGAACGAGAGAAAGCAGACUUGUGGUUCGUUCGUUUUAACAUUCCAAAGGUGAAAAGCAUCUGGAAGGGAAAAAUGGCAACAACAAAAACCAAACAAAAAGAACAACUCAUGGCAUUCUAGGUUGGUUUUGUGCAUGAUGAAAAACAUGCUCCUUGUAGAACACGUGGACACCAAAGGGAUGAAAGUUAUCACAUUCCAAUUAUAUUUGUUCUUGUUAUAGGUAAACAUAUGCAGAUGCUGUUGAAUUUGGAGGUGUUUUUAGUGAUUUCUUUUUCUUCCUUUGUUCCCCUUUCUCCUCUUGCUAAUACUUCUUUUUUCCCUCUUUUCCCCCAUUUUCUUCUGGGCCUUCUGUUUCCUCCUGGAAUAAUAACAGCAUCUUCAAACUGCAUCAUGGAAUCUGGAAGGGAAAAUCCCAACCAGCAGCGUGGUGUUUUAUUGGUGUUGCAUGAGCUCAAGGGUAAAGGAGAAGUUCAGUCUGUAACAUCAGUGCAUCUGUGUUUCAUCACAUGUUUGUACGGAUUGGAGCCCUGAGGCACAUGGCAGCUGGCAGGAGUGAGGCAGGGUGGAUGUGCCCACGAGGGAAAGAUGAUGGAUCCCAGCUUGGGCUGCUUCACAGCCUCCGUGCUGGCAGACUGUAGCUCGGCAGGCCGUGCCCUCAUCCUGGAAGGGACAGAGAAGCCUUCCUGCUGCGACCACGCUGGAACCAAACAUCCUCAAGCUCUGACCUCGUAUUCAAGCUGUUUCACCCCAGGGACCUGUAAGUCCGCAGCCACCACGCCACGACCCCACCUCAGCCCGAAGCCCACCACCACCCCACGGUCUACCAUAGCGGCUCCCUCACGCCCCGCCCACGCGCUCCCAACCAAUCACAGCGCGGGAGCCGCCCG